UACGUAGGGUGCGAGCGUUGUCCGGAAUUACUGGGCGUAAAGAGCUCGUAGGUGGUUUGUCGCGUUGUUCGUGAAAACUCACAACUCAAUUGUGGGCGUGCGGGCGAUACGGGCAGACUGGAGUACUGCAGGGGAGACUGGAAUUCCUGGUGUAGCGGUGGAAUGCGCAGAUAUCAGGAGGAACACCGGUGGCGAAGGCGGGUCUCUGGGCAGUACUGACGCUGAGGAGCGAAAGCGUGGGGAGCGAACAGGA
rnacentral:rRNA from 1 species